rnacentral:rRNA from 1 species
UACAGAGGGUGCGAGCGUUAAUCGGAAUAACUGGGCGUAAAGGGCGCGUAGGCGGCUUUUCAAGUGACGGGUGAAAUCCCUCGGCUUAACCGAGGAACUGCCUGUCAGACUGGAAGGCUUGAGACCGGGAGAGGUGAGUGGAAUUCCCAGUGUAGCGGUGAAAUGCGUAGAUAUUGGGAGGAACACCAGUGGCGAAGGCGGCUCACUGGACCGGAACUGACGCUGAGGCGCGAAAGCGUGGGGAGCAAACAGG